GCGGGAGUCGCCCAGCUAGGUCAAAGGCGCAAGACUCAAGAUCUUGUCGCUUAGUGCGUUCGCAAGUUCAAAUCUUGCCUCCCGCACCA
rnacentral:tRNA from 1 species